GCCAGCGCUCAGUUGUCGCUCGCUCUGCGCUCUGCCUGUCAGCGCUCUCUUGCUGCUGCCGCCUGGGAUUUUCCUGACGCCUGCUCUGGAGCGCCAAUCCCAGCAGGAUGAGCACUGCUGUGCCAGUGGAGACUGCCAGAGAUGGUAGAGAUAGAGGAAAUGGAAGUGGACAUGGUGCUGGAUGGGGAAGAAAGGAUGGAGGUAGACACAGAAGAGCCACUUGAGGAGAUGGAAGUCGAAGAGGAGGACAAUAUCGAGCAGAUGGAAGUGGACGAGGAGGAUGAGGAGGAGCCCAUGGUCCUUGGAUGAAGAAGGAGCCCCACAAGCCUGAUGCAGAUGAUGGCCACAGAUAUGACGCCUCUGUAAAUAUGUUUGAAAAGUGAGAAGAAUUCUGUAAAUAUGUUCGUCGCUUAGAAGUUCUCUGUAAAUAUGUUUUGAAGACUGUUAGUCCAUAGGAUCCCAGGAAAUAUGAAAGGUGUUCUGGAAAUCCUAGAAUUUGCCGAUCUUCAGCAAAUAAAUACUGCUUCUUUAGAAAA